UACGUAGGUGGCAAGCGUUGUCCGGAUUUACUGGGCGUAAAGAGCGCGCAGGCGGUCGUUCAAGUCGCGUGUGAAAGCCCCCGGCUCAACUGGGGAGGGUCACGCGAUACUGAUCGACUCGAAGGCAGGAGAGGGAAGCGGAAUUCCCGGUGUAGUGGUGAAAUGCGUAGAUAUCGAGAGGAACACCUGCGGCGAAGGCGGGUUGCUGGGCUGACACUGACGCUGAAGCGCGAAAGCUAGGGGAGCGAACGGG
rnacentral:rRNA from 1 species